GGUUAAAAAACUGAAAAUUAUAUUGUGAAAUUGACAAAAUGAGAUUAGGGGGGUAGGUCACUAAAAGAAAAAUUUGGACCAUUUUAAAGAGAUUGUGACGGGCAACGACUAUAGAGGUGAGGUAGAGGAG